rfam:Triticum aestivum genome assembly, contig: Triticum_aestivum_CS42_TGACv1_scaffold_271450_3DS
AAGAUACUCCCUCCGUCCGAAAAUACUUGUCAUCAAAAUAGAUAAAAUGAGAUGUAUCUAGAACUAAAAUACGUCUAGAUCCAUCCCCUUUUAUCCAUUUUGAUGACAAGUAUUUCCGGACGGAGGGAGUAUGAG